GAAAUGCGAUAAGUAAUGUGAAUUGCAGAAUUCAGUGAAUCAUCGAAUCUUUGAACGCAACUUGCGCUCCUUGGUAUUCCUUGGAGCAUGCCUGUUUGAGUAUCAUGAAAUCUUCAAAGUAAAUCUUUUGUUAACUCAAUUGGUUUCUACUUUGGUAUUGGAGGUCUUUGCAGCUUCACACCUGCUCCUCUUUGUUCAUUAGCUGGAUCUCAGUGUUAUGCUUGGUUCCACUCGGCGUGAUAAGUUAUCUAUCGCUGAGGACACUGUAAAAGGUGGCCAAGGUAAAUGCAGAUGAACCGCUUCUAAUAGUCCAUUGACUUGGACAAUACUUUUAUGAUCUGAUCUCAAAUCAGGUAGGACUACCCGCUGAACUUAAGCAU
rnacentral:misc_RNA from 1 species